ensembl:lncRNA
UCAACUCUGAUGGUUUUUAAUUCUGCAGAAGCAGCUUCCUGCCAGGGACAAGUACCUCUUGGUGGAGGCUGGAGCCAUGUCGAUGCUGACCUACUUGUCAGAGUCAAGGCCUGCAUGUGCUGAUGGCACGCAGACUGACACUCUGGGCUCACAGCCCACACGGAGCCAAGAGGGGAGCCUCUUUCACUGAGGUGCCCGUGGUAACAUCAGAAGCUUGCUUCGAAGCCAACACCAGCAAGGCCAUGCGUGUGAGCAGCCCGGUUUCUGAACCUGAUCCUGGCAUUGGUUAGACUCACUAGUGAUCUGAUUAAUCAGGGGGAACUCAGAAGUUUUCACCACCUGGAGCUUUCCCAUGGACAGAGGAGCCUAGCAAGCUACAGCCCAUGGGGUUGAAGAGUCACGACUGAGUGACUACACAACAGCUUUCAUGAAGGCUUCAUGUGUGGCUCUCCCAGGAGCUCUGACAGCCUACAGGAAAAGCCACCCACCCCCAUCUCGGAGGCCAACCCUUCUGCGUGGUGGCUAGCAGUGACAAAACCAAGAUGAAUCACCAUAUGUCAGGAUCCAUAAAUUGUGAAAAGUCUAAGCAGCAGGUCUGGGAUGAGAGAUCAAGGCCAAAGGGGAUCGUGCAACAGAAGAAAAGCCGUCCAGAGAUACGAGGGGCCAGCCCACGGCUCCAGCUAUCGAAGUAUGCUCCCCCCCCAGCCCCCACCAAGUCUAAAACAAACACAGGAACGCAUUCCAUACAUUUCCAAAGACUAGAGAGCGCACACAGAAAUCCUGGCCUUUGUGCCUUCUCCCUUAAACCCCACGAGUUUGGGGCCUCAAGUUUGAAGCCGGCUUCCUGCCUCCCUGGGGUUUUUUGAAAGAUUCAAAAGUGCCUCAGACCAAGACAGCUGCUUGGUUGAUGGCUCACAUUGAAACCACAAAUUAUAAAAUGAUAAAUCGCUGCUCAAAGCUCUUCCAGGAAAGACUAUGUUGUCAAGAUUAAGUUACAACCUCAUGGACCUAUGAGUGAGUCGAGCUGCUGACUAACUCUCACACUUCUUUUCCUGCCCAAGAUGUUUUUGCUUCGUGAACUUUCACUGUUUCUGAAUACUUGAAACAAAUGACUGAAGGCAGAAAAAACAUCAGGGGACUUCUUAACCCAUGGAGCUUUUUACAGGCUUUAUUAUGUAACGGCUGCUUUCGUUUUGUGAGACCCAAAGGAAGUUGAAGAAAUCUCUUUCUUCUUGAGCACUUAACUGCCAGCGAUCUGUGAGAAAUGGCUUCGUGUGGGCAGCUCCACUCACUUGAAACUCUAGUUGGAACGUGUAGUGUGUGCUAAAUCAAAGCUGGUUUUAAGGAAUUUGGGUC